rnacentral:misc_RNA from 1 species
AACGCAAAUUGCACUCUCUGGCAACCCGGGGAGUAUGCCUGUUUGAGGGUCAGUGUUAAUAAAAAUCGGUGCGUUGCAAAUUUUUUUGUGAUGUUUCCGGAGUUUGAGUUAUCUUAAUUAACUCUUCUGGGGUUUUUAAGAGGCUUAAAAUUGACCUUUUUUGUGCAUUUUAGACGUACAUAAAUUUUUUUUUAUUCGUCCAUCUUAAUGCCAAAAUCUAAUAGAUGCGACCAUAUCAUGUGGUUUUGUGUCCAUAAAUUUUUCAUGAUUUGACCUCAAAUCAGGUAGGAACACCCGCUGAACUUAA